GCUUCGCAAGCGUCGAUGCGUUCAUCUGCUGUCCCAGCGCAGUUCAUUUGUCUUGAACGUCUCGAAGCGUACGGAUGUUUGUCCGUGCCGUCGCGGCCAGUGAGCAGUGAAACACAGUUGCAGCUGUACAAAGGAGAAGAAAAACACUGUACGUCGAUUACGAGCAAAGGUUCAGUGCUGCUGGUGUGUUUUUGUGCUUGCGUCACUGUUUGUGUGUUCGAAAACUCCAUCAUCAAACCCAGCAGCAAUCAACCUUUAAGCGUGGCACCACCGUGCUGCCGGAACAGAAGAAAAGCGGGGUUAAACCGUGUCACAUACACCAAUCAAACGAGAAGCGUUCCCGAAGGAUAGGAAACGAAUACCGGAUUCCAUUUCUGCGUCUAAUGCUGAGCUAAUCGAAAGCAACUUCGAUUCCGCUAGAGAUACAGACUUGGGAGAUCCGCCGAGAUCUUCAUCCACUCGGAUCCCCCUUAAAAACUCCGCCACAAACGUGUGUGAGCGCGUGUCCUGGUAAGCGUCCGACGGCGUCGUCCUCUUGGUGAGGACAAACACACCCCUCAUUCCCGAUGUGGACGACACACCAUCGAACCGGCCAUGUUGCCGGUGGCCGCCAUCGUUGCUCCACGGCCCAGCUACUCCUAGCCGCCGCCAUCAUGCUGAUGCUCAACGUGCUGACAGUGCACAGUUUAAUACAUUCGCCGCCGCGCAUCAUCAAGCAACCGCCACCGGACGAGAUGCUGUUCCAGGUCGCUCAGCAGGGCGAAAGUGACAAACCCUUCCUGAUCGAGUGCGAAGCGGAAGGUGAACCGACACCGAAAUAUCGCUGGAUCAAGAACGGCAAAAAGUUCGAAUGGCAAACGUACGACGAUCGGAUGUCGCAACAGCCAGGGCGUGGUACGCUGGUCAUUACGUCACCGCGCGACGAAGAUCUUGGCCAGUAUCAAUGUUUCGCCGAAAACGAGCACGGUACCGCCACGUCCAACUCGGUGUUUGUGCGCAAGGCCGAGCUGAACUCGUUCAAGGACGGUUCGCCGCAAACGGUACAGGCGGACGAGGGCAAACCGUUUAAGCUCGUGUGUCAACCACCGGACGGUUGGCCGAAACCGAACGUGUACUGGAUGAUCCAGAACAUGGACGGUGGCAUCCGGAGCAUUAACAACUCGCGCAUGACCCUCGACCCGGAAGGUAACCUGUGGUUUUCGAACGUGACGCGCGACGACGAGUCGAACGAUUUCUUUUACGCGUGUGCCGCAUCGUCCGUGUUCCGAAGCGAGUACAAAAUCGGCAACCGGGUGUUGCUGCAGGUGCGCCAGACCGGCAUCUCGGCCGCCCAGAACCGCCACGCCCCGCAGCGCCAGUACGUGUCGCGCAAGAACGAGGUCGCGCUGAAGGGCAAACAGAUUGAGCUGUUCUGUAUCUACGGUGGUACGCCGCUGCCCGAGACGGUGUGGACGAAGAACGGGCGCGCCAUCAUUUGGAACGAUAAGAUCCAGCAGGAUAACUACGGCAAGUCGCUCAAGAUACGGCGCGUCUCGUCGGAGGACGCAGGAACGUACACGUGCGAGGUGUCGAACGGUGUCGGCAAUGCCGAUUCGUACUCGAUCAACCUGGCGGUGAACGCGGUACCGUACUUUACGGUCGAGCCGGAAAUAGUGAACGCGGCGGAAGGGGAAUGGGCCGAGUUCAAGUGCGAGGCGGCGGGUAAUCCGCGACCGAACAUUAUGUGGAUCCACAACGGCAAGCAUAUCGAUUUGAGCUACGCGAACCCGCGCCGUAUCAUCCGCACGAACAGCAUCUACAUCGGGAAGCUGCAGAAGAGUGACACCGGUAACUACGGCUGCAACGCAACCAAUUCGCUCGGCUACGUGUACAAGGAUGUGUACCUGAACGUGUUGGCGCUGGCGCCGGAGAUUACGGAUCCACCGAAGCGCGAGUUCACCGUCGACCAGCGUAACGUGACGAUGACGUGCCGGGUGUUUGGUGCGCCAAAGCCGGAAGUGAAGUGGUUGCGCAACGAUCGGGAGCUGACCGGCGGCCGGUACCAGACGAUGCCGAGCGGCGAUCUGUUCAUUCGGGACGUAAAGUUUGACGACGCGGGCGAGUACAAGUGUUACGCGUUCAACACGCUCGGCAGCAAGUCGGCCGCGGGCGAGCUGAUCGUGAAGGAGCGCACGGUGAUCAACGAUCCGCCGCAGGACUACGAGGCAGAGGCGGGCACAACCGUCACGUUCCGCUGUAACGCCAUCGCCGACUCGUCGCUCGAGCUCACGAUCGAGUGGCUUACCAAGGGUGAGAUCAUUGAUUUCGAAAACCAACCCCGGUUCAUCCGCACGUCGGACAAUUCGCUGAUGAUUUCGAAAACGAUCGAACUGGAUACGGGCAUCUACACCUGUCUGGCGCGUACCGAUCUGGACGAAGUGAUGGCCAACGCAACGCUCACGGUAAUGGACCGUCCGAAUCCGCCCACCCUGACCGCGGUCACGUGCAAGGGUAAGGUGGCGAAGAUUGAAUGGGUGUCGAACGGGGACAACCGUUCGCCCAUCCUGAACUACAUCAUCGAGUACAACACCAGCUUCACGCCGGACACGUACGAUGUACUGUCGGACGAGGUGCCCGGUACGGACUUUGCCUGGGUGGUGAACACGACGCCGUGGAACAAUUACACCUACCGCGUGAUCGCGGUGAACAAGAUCGGCCGCUCGCUACCGUCCGGCCACAGCGAUGUGUGCAGCACGCCCACCAGCGUGCCGUACAAAAACCCGGACAAUCUCGAGGGCGAAGGUACGACGCCGAACAAUCUCGUCAUCAAGUGGCGCCCGCUAGCGCAGGUGGAUCAUAACGCGCCCGGCUUGCAGUACCGGGUGUACUGGCGCAGGGACAUACCGAGCGGGACGUGGAAUUCGGCGGAUGUGCGCGAUUGGCGGCAGUCAAGCUACACGGUCGAGGGGCUGCCCACGUUCACGCGCUACCGCGUCAAGGUGGUGGCGUUUAACGAGCGCGGCGAAGCCAACUCCGGCCCGUGGGAAAUCGAAGCGUACACCGGCGAAGACACACCGUUGGACGCGCCGGGCAACUUUACGCUGAUCCAGGUGACGGGACCAACGGCGGCCAUCCUGAGCUGGAACCCGGUCGAGCCGGGUUCGUUGCGGGGCCAUUUCAAGGGCUACAAGAUCCAAACCUGGACCGAGGCGGACGGGGAGGAAAAUCUGCGCGAAAUACUGAUCACGGCCGACGCGAAGCAAGCGCUGGUGACGGACUUCAUCCCCGAUGCGACCAACUACGCACGCAUUCUCGCGUACAACGGACGGUACAAUGGGCCCGCCAGUACGACGCUGUCGUUCGAUACGCCCGAAGGUUUGCCGAACACGAUCCAGGCGCUGGAAGCGUUCCCGCUCGGUUCGUCCGCGUUCCUGCUGCGGUGGAAGAAACCGCUCCAGCCGAACGGUAAGCUGACCGGCUACCGGAUCUACUACGAGGAGGUGAAGGGUACGACGGUCGGGCCGCGCAUGGAACGUGAACCGCACAUCUCCGAUCCGGCCGUGCUGGAGGCGAAGCUGGCCCGUCUGAAGCCGGCUUCCAAGUACCGCAUUCACGUGGUCGCCACCACCAAGGCUGGCGAAGGUCAAGAUCUUUACAUCGAACGGGCAACCUCGUCCGGGCUGGGCAUACCACCGGAUGUGCCGAACUUCUACUGGGAAAAUCUUCCCUCGGACAAUGGGCUGGCCAACAUUAAGGUUGUGUGGCAGCCGGCGCUCGGCGGUAAAGCCGGAUCCCACUUCUACGUCAAGUACCGCAUCAAGGACGAAUCGACCUGGCAAACGACCGAUCCGGAGCUGUACGAAAACUAUCUGAUCGUGCACGGCAUCAACCCGGACCAUCUGUACGAGUUCCGGGUCGUGUCGGUCGAUGGCGAAUAUCAGACGGAAUCGGGCACGCAGGAAGUUGACACCUACGGUAUCCAAAGCUCCGUGAAGGUGCCGGGUGAUAAUAUUGCGACCGCCGGUUGGUUUAUCGGUAUGAUGCUGGCGAUUGCCUUCCUGAUACUGGUGCUGAUCAUCAUCUGCAUCGUGAAGCGUAACCGUGGCGGCAAGUACGAUGUGCACGACCGUGAACUGGCGAACGGCCGCAACGACUACACCGAGGAGGGCGGAUUCCCGGAGUACUCGCAACCUGUUUUACGUGAUUACAGUUUGGACAAUAAAAGCCAGGGCCGACAAUCGCUGAACUCGCAAAAAGUAGGACCGGAAAGUGAUACAGAUUCCAUGGCGGAAUACGGUGAAGGUGAUACAGAAGGUAUGAAUGAGGACGGCUCCUUCAUCGGGCAGUACGGGCGGAAGGGUGGCAAAAAUGCGGAUAGCAAUUCGCAGGCGUUCGCAACACUAGUUUAGUUUAGUAUAGUAGCGAGAGGCGCAUAGAGAUCGAAAAAAGAGAGAAGAAAAUAAAACAGGAUUAAUUUUAGCUUAGCAAGGGAGAAUACCGCAUGUAGUAUGAGAGCGCGAUACAGCGAGUGAGCGCGUUUUCCAAACACAAAAUCACUUCAAGUGCGUCACAAGAAGAAGAAAGAUAGGUUGAAUAUGCAUAUAUCGUUGUGUAUGUAAGAGUUUGGAGUAGAACUAAGUUUUUUUUUUUCAUUCAACAACCUGUUCGCGUGGACGUGUCCUGCUAAUCUUACUACUUCCUCUCAAGCACGCUCUAGCAAACGCGUCGACGAGAGACAGCAUUAAGGAUGUAUAAGGCUGGGGAGAGUUAUUGUGUCCAUUAGACCCAUGUGCGCCGCGCGCAUGGUGAUAGUCCGGGAAAGUUGUCCCUUCGCGACACGGAGGAUGGUAACCGUCUGCAUCCGCUGCUGUGCGCUCGUUAUUGGUCCGCAGAACGCGACGGGUGGUAAUGUUAAACAUAGUGUAGUGCUCCGCUGAACGUUUAGCAGCUUAAGCAAAGCCGUGUUCGGAAGCGGUAGAGAAGAAGUAAACGUGAGCUCGAAAUCAAAAGUGAACCCUAUCACAAAACCAACAUACACAAGCGCUUAGGAUGUUAUCUAGCGUGUAAACACACUCGAGUUAAAGAUAUAUAAAGCUAGCAGUUGAACUUGUAUUUUUUUAAAUCGCCUUUCAAUCACGGUUAACCGGUAGCGCGAAACAAAAAGCAACGAAAGGUCCCUGUGCGCGCGCUCGUAUGUUGCUAGGAGGGUGCUAGCUCUGUAGUAGGUAGGGUGUUGUUUGCAAAGCGGUACAAGUAAAGGAUCCUGCGUCGUGUAGCGGACGCCAAUGCCGCCACCCCAACUGCUCCAUCCUAAUGGCACACACAUACACAUGUAGCAGAAAUCACCUCAUCCGCAGAGACCGGGAACGAUCCGAAUGAAAGGCCGCGAUUUUCAGUUUCGGUUUAACCGCAUCUUUAGUUUGGUUGACUUGGCCGCUGUGGGACGUGCGUGCGCGGCGCCUUCUUCACACACACACACCCACACACUCUUCCGUUGCAAAACAAAAAAUGCACGAAAUUAUGUGGUCAAUUUACGGAAGAUGGUUCCUUUAUUGGACAGUACGUACCGGGCAAGCCACCGGUUAGUGCACAAUCGACACCGCAGAAUCCAUCGCUACAGGGCGCUAAUGCUGGCAUGGCAACGUACGUCUAGGCAGAUAAGUGGAAAAAAGCUGGCUUGCAAACAUCAGCCAACACUCGCGGCCCCACAAGCCCCCGUCCCAAAAGGGAGCAGCAGGCAGCAACGUAUGAUGUAACGUCGUACUCCAGCUGUGUGGGGGUGACGCAUUCUCGCCUCCUAGCUUAAUCGAACGAAUCGAAGGAUAGUAGUGCACGGAUAGAGAGGAAGAAGAAGAUUACACACUGCCGAAAUUCCCGUCAAACAUCACUCUGAGGUUGCAACAGCUAGAGAGAGAGAGAGAGAGAGAGAGCUCUACUCUUAAUAUCCUUUUCAUCGAUGUUCGACGGAAAAGGAAAAAGUUUGAAUGUUGUACUGAGAUAGCAGCCGCCAUGUGCAAAGCUUCGGGCAAGCAAAAAACAAUCGCACCAGGAGCACAGAUAUUAAAAAUUGAAGAUCUUUUUCUUAGGGCAAUGUUGUGUGUGUGGAGUGCGUGACGAUCGCCGCACGGGAACUUAUCGGAUCGUUUAAUCGUUAUUGUGUUUGUUUUUACUUUCUUUUUAUUCUGUUUCGAAAUGUUUUAUAUAUAGAUCAGUGUCUCUCUCUCAAUAUUAUCCAACCAGAAAUCUCGUUUUUAUUGCAAAUUUAAUUUACUGAAUGAAGAUUUUUCGACACGGACACUCAAUAAGAUAACGAAAACCUUUCUCGAAUAAAAUACUGCCUGUCCAGUUUUUUUCGGUCAGUGAACCCGAAGCUAGGAGAUAUUGGCGUACACACGGAUGUAUCGUUAACGUUAAAAGCGUCUCAGCUCUCAAACUUCUCACAAACAAUGAAUCUCUGUUAGUAGGCAAAAGCGGUUGUUUAACAUCGACAAACACACACACCCCCGCUACAGAAUGUCGCACAAUCUCAUUGUGCCGAAUGUCGUGCUUUUUUUUCGAACAGUAAAGGCGUACGGCACCCCAAUUUUUUGCGUCCAUUUGUAUGUAGAAAUCUCAAUUAGGUUUUUUUUUUCUUCUAGGUAGCUACAUGUGUUUGUUUUAUCCAUCAAGAAAGCCUUUUUUAAAUGAAGUGAAACACAUAUUUUAGACUUAGUUCGCUCUCUCUCCCUCUCUCUCUCUCUAUUGCGCUCUGUGUCGAGCGGAUUAUUUUUUUGCGGGAGGUACGAGAGGGAGCGCCGCCUCACGCCAGGAUUAUUAAUCCAACCUUCUGGGCGCAGCUAUUCAGGGCAACGAAGAACAUUCAAAUACGAAUUAGCAAAACCAUCACACACACAACUCCGUCUCCACGCGCUACAGCUAACAAAUUGUAUCACAAUUUAUGUUGUUGUUAUCUUUAUGUGUAUCUGUAUAUCGUGUAUAUGUAAUAAGUCCGCGCCGGGAGGAGCACCUGUCCGUUAUGAGUGUGUGUGAACCGCUUCCCUUACCCCACCCCACGGAAUACCCAAACACAAACCGUUCUUUAACCGACUUUCGUUUUGAGGGCACCCACUGAGGGGUGCCUUUAAGGCGCGCGUGGAUUAAAGGAGGUGAGCGAAAUUCAGGCGAAAAAAGCGAAAAAAAAUCGAACGAACUUUACUACAGUGCAGAAGUUAUACAAAGCAAGAAAAGCAGAAAGAAAACUUUACAUUUUCCCGUGUAAGAAUAAUUGAAAUCGAGCAACACAAUAUUUUUGUUCCUUCAGUUUUUUUUUUAUUUCAAGAAGGAAACAUUGAGCGGAAUUCUUUAUUUUUAACAUAAUUUAUAAUAAAACAUUACUAGGAACUGUAUCACUUUAGUUGUUUUUUUUUUAAUUUUUAAAUCUCUUUAAAAUUUGUUUUUUUGUAAUUUUCUUCUUGUUUUCUUUCGAGCUUUGUUUUAUUUCUUUUCAGAUUAAAAUUACUUCCUCCAAUCUGCGCGAUCUCUCCAACAGCUCUCCACACUGAAUUAAAAAAAAAUACAACGGUCCGAACACGUGGCUUGAACUGUAUGUUACCGACCAUAUUAGGUUAUGUAUUUGUGGAUAUGUAUCCGCCGCAAAGCAAAAACAAAAGCAAGCCGUCAAAAACGCACAAACUACUAAGAGAUAACACAAUUGAUAUUCUCGCUCUCUCGCUCUCUCUAAUACAAAACACACAGGGUCUUAGUCCAAAUAUUUAAACUGAUUACUACAAGAAAUGCGUGCGCCACCUGCACACGAUUAGCAAAACAAAACGAAAUGCUGCGUCAUCGAAAAUGAGUCUUCUGUGUGCAGACUAUGUACAGCAGGGCAGGGGGUGUGGGUUUCAGUGGGGUAGUAGCUCUUUAGGAGGAACUCCCUGGUUUUCCAUUCUCCAUCAGAGCGACGGUUCUCUUGAGAUAAUCUCGUCUGUACCCUCUGUAAUUGCUCGAGCUUUCUGAUUAGUUGUUCCCUUAAUGCUACGCACAAACGAAGUAAUGGGAUACCGCCCAAAGACGAGUACAGACGUAAAAAGGGAAUCCUCAGGAAACCAACAAGAAAAACCGAAUUAUAUAGAGGGGUGUGUGCAGUUAAACUUAUUAUUACUCGUAUAUUUGCUUUCUGUUAGCUAAUGCGUACUGUAACUACAGGCACACACAUGUCCCUAUAUAUGCCACCCUUAAAAAUUGCUUCCCAUCCUGGGGAACCACAUAAGGAUUCGAUAAUCGGGCUGCGGAGCUUUGCAAUCAUAUAAUGGAAGCUUGCAAACGAUUUGCGGCAGUGGAAUGCUAGUUGCAAGAUUCCAUUAUAUGAUUGCAAAGUUCCACAACUUUCAUCUGAGUGAUGAAUUCCUUUCUAUGGGUCGAAUCCCCUGGUUAAAAAGCUUACUGAGAGCUAUCCCACACACACACACACUGUUGUGUAAUGAAUAUGUAUGUGUGUGCGUAAGUUACUAUUAAGAAGAUGGGGUUAUUGCUAUUUACGAAACCUCUCUGUGCUAGUACUUUUCUAAUUGGAUAAUUGUUUUCUUUAAAAUGCGGCAAAAAACAAGAAUCGUGUCCUUAGACACAAACACACAUAUACUCUAUAUGAGCCAUUUUGAAUUAUUUAGUAGCUAAUAAUGGUGUUUCCGCAUUUAGUAGGCGUUAGGGUAGCCAGCAGCCACGGCCAAACAAUUGUUGCAAUAUAUACCUACGAGCUUUGUGUUGUCUGUAGGUGCGACAACGAUCCUUAAGAGUUUCGCACACGCUUCCGCUGUCUUAGUUGCUUUGUUUUGCCUUGCUGCCUAAACGGUUUUCUUUAUUUUAUCCCGUUCCCGAUAACGUAGUAGACAAGGGCCGGUGGUGUGUGACCCUUUAUGGGAGGGGAAAGCAAAACCCCCACCCACUUCACACAAUCCGUGAUUGGGAAUGAUGGAGCGAAACGAAAUGAAGUAAAAUAGAAACAAAAUGGCGAAGAUGAUACGAACAACAACAACAAAAAAUGGAAAGAAGUAAUAUUUAUACCAUUAAAAGUAAGGCUUUCUCUAGUAGUGGACGAAGCGGGAAGAAUGGGAGAAGAAGAAGUACCACUAAAACGACUGACUGCAAACGAAGAAGACGGACACACACCGCAUAGGAUUCAAAAAAAAAAAAAAGCAAGAUGGAGGAUGGUGAUGUAUUUAAUUGUUCGGGAUACAUUUGGGGCCAUUUCAAGAGAGAGAGAGCAAGGAUAAAAAGCAGCAUAGUAUUUGUGUGUAUACAAAGAGAUGGGAUAAAAAAACACGCACACACACACACAUAAAUCAGGCAUAUAUGUACGCACAGUUGAGUUGCGCAUUUAUAAAGGCUUGAUUGCAAAAUUGGAUGUCGAUAAAAUGGCGCGCGCGUCCAAUAUGGCGGCGUUAUUGUUUUUCGCUUUAGUAUUAUUCUGUUCUGGGUGGAUUUUUUUCCCCGGGGGAAAGAAAAAGCAAAACGAAUUAUAAAAAAAAAUUCGAAAUAAAAAAAAACUAGUUAGUUUUUAGCACGGGAGAUUAUUGAAGGAACAGGCUUAGAAUCUAAGAGGAGGUGGAGUUUAUUCCGGGGUGAACAACGUAGGGAGUAUAGGUGGGCUGGGGGGAGCGGGAGGAAGGGGAGGGAUAAAAUGAUAUGUUUAGAUUAAACCGCGCAAGUGCUUUUUAAUAUAUUAUUGUAAAAUGCAAACACGCAAGAAGAAGAAAAUUCGCAACCAAAAACAAAAAACUUUGAUGUGUGUGAGACGGUGUAGAAAAACGGACCGACCCAAGAGUGUGUGGGUAGAGGAAGUAGGGUGGUGCUCUCGGGGAAGAGCGUUAACAAACAAACAAAACACUGCAGCUUAUUAGGUUCUAUAUACAUAAUUAUAGUCGUCGAAGAUAUAUAGUCUAACUUUAUUCCAAUUUCCAAAUGCUCCGUUCCUGCUACCUGUCCACCAUUUCCUUUUUCCUGCCUCCUGUGGCAUCGUUCAACCAUUUUGAACAGCUCAUAGAAUCCUGUAGAUCCUUGUCUAUCGCUCCCUGUCCCAAAAAAAAAAAAA